rnacentral:rRNA from 1 species
AUGGACGAAAGCGUGGGGAGCGAACAGGAUUAGAUACCCUGGUAGUCCACGCCGUAAACGAUGCUAACUCGUUUUUGGGCCUUCGGGCUCAGAGACCAAGCGAAAGUGAUAAGUUAGCCACCUGGGGAGUACGAACGCAAGUUUGAAACUCAAAGGAAUUGACGGGGGCCCGCACAAGCGGUGGAUUAUGUGGUUUAAUUCGAUGAUACGCGAGGAACCUUACCAAGGCUUAAAUGGGAAUUGACAGACGCAGAAAUGUGUUCUUCUUCGGACAAUUUUCAAGGUGCUGCAUGGUUGUCGUCAGCUCGUGCCGUGAGGUGUUAGGUUAAGUCCUGCAACGAGCGCAACCCCUGUCACUAGUUGCUACCAUUAAGUUGAGGACUCUAGUGAGACUCCCUACGCAAGUAGAGAGGAAGGUGGGGAUGACGUCAAAUCAUCACGGCCCUUACGCCUUGGGCCACACACGUAAUACAAUGGCCGGUACAGAGGGCAGCUACACUGCGAAGUGAUGCGAAUCUCGAAAGCCGGUCUCAGUUCGGAUUGGAGUCUGCAACUCGACUCUAUGAAGCUGGAAUCGCUAGUAAUCGCGCAUCAGCCAUGGCGCGGUGAAUACGUUCCCGGGCCUUGUACACACCGCCCGUCAAGCCAUGGAAGUCUGGGGUACC